CCGGGGGCGGGGCUUCAGGCUUUAGGACCUGAACCAGUGUUGGAGUUACUGGAGCUGGGGUUGAAGUUGGGACUGAGGCUGGACCAGGGGCUCCUGGGACAUCCGUUCCCACACCACUGGAGCGGGACCCGAGCAGGUCAGAACGAAGUUGCUGGAGACAUUGAGGACAAGCUCUGGCCCCGGGGGUGUGAUGACCAGACCCCAGGAGGCCUGUGGGCCCAGCAGGAACAGGAGGGGCAGCAACAGCACCCGGCCUUCGGGAGAAAGAGCACCAGAGCAUCAGCACCUCUCCUCUUGGCUGACCCUGGGGGAGGCCAUAUCAGCACAGUCCUUGAAGACCGCACCACCCUAAUCUGACACAGACUGGAACCCAUGGUUCUGAAGCCUGCUUGCCCAGUGCCCGGGCCCCAGGGACUCCUUCCAGGCUUCUGGCCUCCUGAUCUUAGUGCCUCUAGAUCCCAGGCUUCAGAGUCCUCCAGCUAUGCUGUGUUCAGGCUGUGGGCAUGUUCUCCCAAAGGCAUCAGGAAAUCCUCGGGAAGCAAUUCCCAGGCCUCCAGUUCCUGCAUUACUUCCCAGGCUCAACACUCCACCUCUACACAGUGAAUCUCCCCUCCAGCCUGAGGAUCACAUCAAGGCCAGAGAGAGUGCAACCUGGCCCAAAUCACACAGCAAUGCUGCUUGGUCAUCCAGACCUCACUCUGCCAUGCUGCUCUAGACCCAGAGGACCUUCAGGUUUCCAGGAGGCCUCCCCAGGGACACAAUGGAAAGAAAUGACCUAUUUUCUGGAAGUUCAAAAUAAAACGAAACAUCUGUCUGGAUCCAAGCCAGGCUGAUAAAGAA